UGAAAAGGGGACAGUAUUCCCCGAAAAAGAAAAGGAAAAAAAUAAUGGAAAAAAAUAAAGAAAAAAAGAUAUUUAUUUGUUGCAAUAGAAAAUAUAACAUUUGAGUGAGAAAAAAAAAGAAGCUCAACGGGCAUGAUGUGGUAAUAUAGGGGAUCAUGCUCAUACCCAGCAAAAAACUUGGAUGCCCUGCCAACUCCAUCUUUCAAUCCCAAACCAACACCAAAUGCCUCAGUUGCGCACACCUAAAAUGAGGAAGGACUUUAUUGCCUCUAAUCCAAAAAGAUAUAGAAUCAAUGUUUAUUUGGCAUAUAACAUCAUAUGGAACUGCCAAAUCACAUCUUCAGCCAGCCAAGAGUUCUAUAGCUGAGUUGGUUCUUCUGUAAUUUCUCUAGGACUGGAUUCCUGCAAAUGUUCCUCUGCCUGCUCUCUCAUUAAUUGAAUCAGUUAGCAGAGAGACAACAGAAACAGAGGAGAACUUGGGUUUUUGUAGGAGAACAAAAAAGAGAAGUUUUUCAUUAUGUUUUUACAUUUAUAAGAGUAACCAACAGAAACAGAGGAGAACUUGGGUUUUAUAAGAUCAUUAUGAUUUAGGAUACAAGUGUGCGCGGAUUUCGUCGGUUGAGAAACCAACCGCCGCCGGUGAAACAGUUCCGAUGACGAAUUUGAUAACUAGUGGUUUUGGUGAGUCGACGAAAUCAGCAAAACAAAACCGAAGAAACCAUGAAAUCAGCAAAUAAAGCCCUAGAUCACGAUCUCGACCAGUAAUGAUCACAAACACGCACUCAAUUUCAAAAGGAAAACUUAGUUGAAAACUUACUUGAAUCAGUUUCCUUUCCAUGAUUGGGUCUGGUCUGAAAAUUUGUUCUUGAAUGCUCUAAAUCAAUUCAUUCAUCCUUUGAGUCAACAUCUGCCUCGCCGUCUCUACAUAAUUUAUCAAUUGCAUGAAUCGAUGCGUCGAGAGAGAGAGUAGAUGUCAUAUUUGGGGAUAGCAAGGAUGUUUGAGUUUGAAAUAAUUUGAAUGAAUAUGGAAUUAAAUUAGUUGCCAUUUUUGAAUUUUGAAAAUAUUAUUCCAGAUUUAGGGGAUUUGAGAAUCAA
rnacentral:lncRNA from 1 species